GCACUCGUGGUGGAAUUGGCAGACACGCUACCUUGAGGUGGUAGUGCUUAAUAGCAUGUGAGUUCGAGUCUCGUCGAGUGCACCA
rnacentral:tRNA from 1 species